GCUAACGUUAGUCCUCUGGCUAAUCCUCCAUGGACAUGGUAUGUUUCCAUUUUUACCUGUUGUAACCAUUGGUUGUAGCUAACGUUAGGACAUUUUAAUAUCUGUUUAGUUGACAGUAAAUGAGUGUGUGUGUGUGUGUGUGUGUGCAUGUGACUGUGUGUGAGAGAGAGAGGGAGAGAUGAAGAGAGAACCAUGUCAUGCUAGCUGUGUGUAGGUGUGUGUUCUGUGUGAGAAAGAGAGGGGGAGGGUGAGAGAUUACGAAUAACUUAUAGAAAAGAUUGUAAUCAUGUCAACAUUGUGUCAUGCUAGCCGAGAGAGAGAGAGAGAGAGAGAGAGAGAGAGAGAGAGAGAUGAACAUUUCAACUCUCAACUGCCUUUUUCAGUUUCUGAAUCUUCUAGCUUGGAUGGGAGGAGGGAACAAGGGGAAGUUAUCCAGUCUGCCGACCAAGAAAUGUAAAUAGCCUAUGUUUUUCUGUUUCUCUCCAUCUGUCUGCCUGACGGCCAGAUUGCUGAGGGGCAGCAUAGUUAAUGUACUGGCUAGGCUAACUGUGAAGACCUUAGGUAAUGAUUAAUCAUGAUUCGUCUUUACAGUUUCUGAAACAUAUAAGUGACCUGAUGCAUGGCCUCUACAGCAGUGCUUGGCCAGCCACUCAGUUACGAAUGACUUAUUCAGCCACAUUCCAGGGAGAGAGCAGAACCACCCCUCAUUCAAUCCAUAGUUACUGAAGAUCUGCCCCAUCACACCAGUCUUCAAGAGGGCCACUAUGCUCCAGAUCUGACCCAUCACACCACUCUUCAAGAGGGCCACUAUACUCCAGAUCUGACCCAUCACACCACUCUUCAAGAGGGCCACUAUGCUCCAGAUCUGACCCAUCACACCACUCUUCAAGAGGGCCACUACGUUCUAGAUCUGACCCAUCACACCAGUCUUCAAGAGGGCCACUAUGCUCCAGAUCUGACCCAUCACACCACUCUUCAAGAGGGCCACUACGUUCUAGAUCUGACCCAUCACACCAGUCUUCAAGAGGGCCACUGUGCUCCAGAUCUGACCCAUCACACCACAUUUCAAGAGGGCCACUAUGCUCCAGAUCUGACACAUCACACCAGUCUUCAAGAGGGCCACUAUGAUCUAUCACAAAUGUGA
rnacentral:lncRNA from 1 species